rnacentral:antisense_RNA from 1 species
AAAAGUAUUAGAUCCUCAAUCUCAAGGUAUUCUAAGAGCUUUUGGAGACCAUUGAGUGUAAAAUUCCCAGUAUGUUUGAGGCAGGAACAGACUUGGAGAAAGAAUGUAGUUUAUGAGCAGGAGUUUGGAGCUGGAAGAAAUACUGCUUUCUGUUGGUGGUUAAUGCUGUCAGCUCCUUGGAUUGUGGCUUUAGCCCUAAAUAUUGGGGCAGUAGAGACUCUUAACUGGAAAACACCUGUGUUAGGGGCAAGAGGCAGAGGAAAGCUUGGGUGGUUGGGUUGAGGAUGGUGGAUGUGCUGUCCCUGUGAGAGUGCUGGUGCUGGACCCUGGAGCCAACGACAAAGCGUUUCAGCGAGCAGGGUCCAAGCAAGGGCAGUCGAGGGCCGGAUGAAGUGGGCAGGAACCGAGUUUCCCAGGUGACAUCCUGCCUGUGCUCAUCACGCCGAGGGGUGGCAGUGUUGCACAAUCACACAGAUUCUUUGUCACUAUUGAGUGCAGUGUUCUUAAGAAUGGGGACCUGGCAGCCAGGUGCGAUGGCUCGUGCCUGUAAUCUCAACACUUUGGGAGGCUGAAGUAGGCAGAUAUAAAAGGAGACCUAGG